AUUUUACUCGAAACAUCAUCGAAUGUGAUAGGCCGAGGUCCAGCUAAUGGCGGUAAAACGACUGCAUCCAUUGUGGCAAUGCUGAAUCGCGUCGAUACAACAAAAAAUCAUAUACAGAUGGGAACAAAAAUAUGGUGAAUCUGUUCGACAUGAAAAAAGUCGUUGUUUUUGUCAUUGAUAAAUUAUGGAAUUAAUCGUCGAAGUGCAAAUGAGCCAUUUUCACUAAUAUGCAUGCCUACAUCUGAUGCAUACCGUAUGUAUCGAAUGUAUGCAUGUAUCCCCAUAUGAACAGAUGCAUAUGGACAGAUGCAGAUGCAUAUAUUCUAUGCAUCGCAAAUCGCCAUUAAGAAGAGAUAGAAUAUAGACUUAUGACUAAAGGUCACAAAGACAUUUUUUUGCAAUUCGAGGAUUUUAAAUUGUUAUUGUAGUUAAUCAUAAUGAUCAGUGGAAGGCUGCAUGAAGCCAUUGUGAAGUGAAUUGAGUAAUUUAUUUGAUAUUCAUCUUCACAAUAAAGGAGUUGGUGAAAAAGUGAGUCUAAUGUCAAAUUUAAAUAUGCAUUUUAAUGUGAGUAAAAGAGACAACCAUAUAGAUUUCACCAACUCCUUUGCGGCUAGUGACUGCUCAACUGACAAAAGUGUGAUUUCAAAUUCAAUAAAUGAAUUUGGCGGAACAACAAUUUGCAGCCCUUCAUCGCCAUACGCAAAGCGCGGUGGACAAUAUAAAUUGCGUAUUCCUCCAACGUUCAUACCCGGAACCGCCAAACUUACUUCUUCCGGUACAUUUUCGCUACCAAUUGUGAAUUCGAGAUUUUCCACACUGAUCACUUCUCGUUGGUUGACUUUCAAAACACCCAUCAACUUGAUUGCCACUUUUGAUAAAUCAUUCGCUUGUGCGCCAUUUCCAACGAUGAUAUCGACAUAUUGUAUACGAUCCUGUAUAGUUUUGCUGAAAGACUAAUACACUUUUGAUUUUAGCAUUUGUUUCGUUUCGCCGAUGGGCUCUCUUCGCAACAUUGCACUUCUAAGUAAUAUCCACUUGAUGAUACACUGCCGGGUCCAUCGACGAAAAGUCUGAUUUUAUCAUUCGCACCAAGGGCCAAAUCAAGUCGAACAUGUGUAAUGUGCAACGCUUUUCCCUCGAUAGUAACGGGAUUUUGGUACCGAACAAUUGAAUCUAUAUAUCAAUGUAAUGUAUCAAUAUAACACCAAUCUUACACCAAAACAUUUUCUCCACACAGUUGAAAAAAAUUACAUAGUUCUAGGCGUAAUAUCGCCUGGUGGAGACGCUCAGGCGAAUUUACAUCUGGUAACAUGUCUACCAGUUGUGUUUUCGUCUAAUGCGAAAUGUCAUUAUGUUUCGGUGCAUUACGCAUGACUUUUGGCCGGUGUUUAAAUCCUUGUUUACUGUGAUUUCGUUUGUAAGUUUUUAAUAUAUAUAAAAAAUGUAAAAAUGGAAUACAUUUUAAGGGUGAAAUUCCAAAAUACGAAAAAAUUUAUUACCAUACGUGAAGAUGAAUUGAAUUGGCGCACUUUUGUUGACAAAGGACUGGCACAAUUUGAAACAAAAAUUUGUAAAAAAAGUAUUGUUUACUUGGUCGACAAUAUUGGAACAGACAUUCCUCAAAAUUUAUUUGUGCCGAUCGUAAAAAACUUCUGGAAUGGAUCAACUUUUUCAUUGAAAUUAAAUACACACCUAACCUCAACAACAGUGCUGAACUAGUAACACCAC